rnacentral:rRNA from 1 species
GACGUAGGGCGCGAGCGUUGUCCGGAUUUAUUGGGCGUAAAGAGCUCGUAGGCGGCUUGUCGCGUCGUUCGUGAAAACUUGGGGCUCAACCCCAAGCUUGCGGUCGAUACGGGCAGGCUGGAGCUCGGUAGGGGAGACUGGAAUUCCUGGUGUAGCGGUGAAAUGCGCAGAUAUCAGGAGGAACACCGGUGGCGAAGGCGGGUCUCUGGGCCGAUACUGACGCUGAGGAGCGAAAGCGUGGGGAGCGAACAGG